UGCAUCUGCAAGCCAAGGAACACCUAAGAGGACCAGCAAACCACCAGAAGCCAGGGGAGAGGCGUGGAACAGACCCUGCCUUACAGCUGUCAGAAGGAACCAACCCUGCCAACACCUUCCUGUUGUACUUUCAGCUUCCAGAACUGAAAAAGAGAAAAAAGCAGGGUAAGAAGAGAAAGUGGUGGAGCUGAGCUGGGCAGAGUGGCUCUUUUAGAAGCGAUGACAUUUACACAUAGGUCACUAUGGAGAGGGCCAUGCAGACACCUGGAGGAGUGCCACAGACACAGGGAAGAGUGCAGGCAGGAGCUGCUGCCGGGCAGAAGAAAAGCAGGGCAGGCUGGCUCCCAGGCCUCAGGGUGGGGAUGGCAGUGGGAAUGAAGCACCUGUAACUGGGCCCUUCCUGCCCUAAUGUUCAGGGGGCCCUACCCCUCGUGAGCUUGUCUUAUUAAGAACCCUCAAAAGGCCUAAGUUAACCAGCAGGUCCAAAGGUCCCAAGGAACAAGGUCAGAGACGCCAGGGAAAAGAGGUGAGCUGUGCAGGACUAGCACUGGGAAAACUGGCAAUUUGUGUUGUCAAGUGUGUGCCUGUGCAAGUGCUCCAACUGCUGCUUUGGGUGAACUUCAGGCCUUGCCUCUUCCCUAUCACCAUCGUCUCCAUCAACACCCUCUUUCUUUUCCAGCCUCUCCUGGUGCCUUAGGAAUCAGACGCCAAUAAACCACAGAGCCCAGCAUGUCCACCUUCGCUUUUAUUGAGUAGUUAGUGUUCUCAAGCUGGCUCACACCCAUGCGGUCAGCUGGGGCCUAGGGUGGCUCUUUGCAAAGCUGAGGGGCAAGCUAAGGAAGCCAGGCAGGUCAGGGGCCCUUUCGGCCUUCUCAAGCCUCCACCUGAGUUCUCGUCAAUGCCAGUCUCCCUGGUAUGAUUGGGGACAUUAUCAGAGAAACAUCUAAUAGCGCACAUCUGGGCACCCACACUCUGCUUCAGUUGCAUCCAUCCUCCCACCCCAAAUUCAACUCCUGACCCAAUACAAAAGACUUUUUUAACCAGGAUUUCUUCUUGCAGGAAAGCUGACUUGGAAACACGGGGAGGUGGCAGGGAGGGGCAAAAAGGACUCUGGCAAGCAGAUCCACUUGUCUGGGUCCCUGCAGUGAAGAACCCAAGAUCCAGGUACCUCAGCCUGGAAGAAACCGUGCACUGCAGGUCUUCCCUUCUAUCAAAACUAAAAGCAAGGAACAGAAGUCAAUUGAAACCCCAGGUCAUCCUACCCACCUUCUGGCAGUCUCUGGAUAAUGAUCUAAGGAAAUAAGCUUACAUUUAUAAUUAGAGGAUAAUUUGGAGAAUUUAUACUAUUUACACGGACCACCCUGCAAAGAUCAGGGAAGGCUGGAUUUCUUCCUCCUUGAUAGUCUGAACUGGAAGCAAAGGAGAAAACCCUUCUCCAAACAGGAGUUUCUCCUCUUUCCCUGGUCCUGCAGAAGAAAGAGGAGCUAUCCCCUCCUCAGCUAGCAGCACCUGAAAGGGAAACAGAGAUAAGGUGAACCAACGGUCACCAGACAGGACGCACAAAAAUAUCACAUACGGGUUCUGAUCCUCUUUGUGUCGUUUUGAAGUCUUAAAAUCUAUUAAAUAUGAGAAUACGAU
rnacentral:lncRNA from 10 species